rnacentral:rRNA from 1 species
GUCCACGCCGUAAACGAUGGAUACUAGCUGUUCGGAGCAAUCUGAGUGGCUAAGCGAAAGUGAUAAGUAUCCCACCUGGGGAGUACGCACGCAAGUGUGAAACUCAAAGGAAUUGACGGGGGCCCGCACAAGCGGUGGAGCAUGUGGUUUAAUUCGAUGAUACGCGAGGAACCUUACCAGGGCUUAAAUGUAGAUUUACAGGACUGGAAACAGUUUUUUCUCGGACAAUUUACAAGGUGCUGCAUGGUUGUCGU